GGACAGCAGCAUUGAGACCCUAAUAGAAGCUGUGAUCAGAGGCCUCAUUCUCUACCUUGAUGAAAGACAGAGGAGUUAAUCAAGGACUACCAGAUGAUGACAAUGCUUCAGCCAUCCAAGAGGCCCUCCCUUCAUUUGUUCUCAACAUCUUUGGAUGGAAGAAAAAUCAGGGCGGGAGGUCUUAAGCAGCAAGCUGGAGCAAUGGUCCUUUUUGAAGAUCUUCCUGGAGCUGGAGGAUGGGAAUCAAAAAAUGAUCCCCAAGUCCCCGAUCUCAAAGUCAGCUUACUGACCUAAAAGCCAUACAGACAUUGUUGAAAGCGAAGGACUGAAAAGCAA